GUCUUCCGGUUCGCAAGCCCGCGGCAAGAGAUGCGCUGGCAGCUGAGCGAGCAGCUGCGCUGCCUGGAGCUGCAGGGCGAGCUGCGGCGGGAGUUGCUGCAGGAACUGGCAGAGUUCAUGCGGCGCCGCGCUGAGGUGGAGCUGGAAUACUCCCGGGGCCUGGAAAAGCUGGCCGAGCGCUUCUCCAGCCGUGGAGGCCGCCUGGGGAGCAGCCGGGAGCACCAAAGCUUCCGGUAGGUGAUGUGCUGGCAGGGGGGCCACGGCAGGGCCCAAGCUCCGCUCCCAGGUCUCAGUGCCCCUCUACCCCCAGGAAGGAGCCGUCCCUCCUGUCGCCCUUGCACUGCUGGGCGGUGCUGCUGCAGCACACGCGGCAGCAGAGCCGGGAGAGCGCGGCCCUGAGUGAGGUGCUGGCCGGGCCCCUGGCCCAGCGCCUGAGUCACAUUGCAGAGGACGUGGGGCGCCUGGUCAAGAAGAGCUUCCAGUGCCUGGCGGGGCCGCUCUGGGCAGUGCCGUGCUCACCCUUGCCUCUGCCUCUAGAGCAGGGAUCUGGAGCAGCAGCUGCAGGAUGAGCUCCUGGAGGUGGUCUCAGAGCUCCAGACGGCCAAGAAGACGUACCAGGCAUAUCACAUGGAGAGCGUGAAUGCCGAGGCCAAGCUCCGGGAGGCCGAGC
rnacentral:sRNA from 1 species